rnacentral:rRNA from 1 species
CCUACGAGGGGCAGCAGUGGGGAAUAUUGCACAAUGGGGGAAACCCUGAUGCAGCGACGCCGCGUGAGUGAAGAAGUAAUUCGUGAUGUAAAGCUCUAUCAGCAGGGAAGAAAAUGACGGUACCUGAGUAAGAAGCCCCGGCUAACUACGGGCCAGCAGCCGCGGUAAUACGUAGGGGGCAAGCGUUAUCCGGAUUUACUGGGUGUAAAGGGAGCGUAGACGGCAGUGCAAGUCUGGAGUGAAAGGCGGGGGCUCAACCCCCGGACUGCUCUGGAAACUGUACGGCUGGAGUGCAGGAGAGGUAAGUGGAAUUCCUAGUGUAGCGGUGAAAUGCGUAGAUAUUAGGAGGAACACCAGUGGCGAAGGCGGCUUACUGGACUGUAACUGACGUUGAGGCUCGAAAGCGUGGGGAGCAAACAGGAUUAGAUACCCUUGUAGUC